rnacentral:lncRNA from 1 species
UUUUUUUUUUUUUUUGGCUUUUUAGGGCCACAUCCAUGGCAUAUGGAAGUUCCCUGGCUAGGGGUUGAAUCAGAGCUGUAGCUGCCAGCCUAUACCACAGCUCACAGCAACACAGGAUCUGAGCCACACCUGCAAACUACACCACAGCUCACAGCAACACUGGAUCCUUUACCCACUGAAUAAGGCCAGAGAUUGAAUCUGCAUCCUCAUGGGUUCUAGUCAGGUUCAUUAACCACUGAGCCAAGAAGGGAACUCCCUCCAAGCAUACUUCUAAAUGGUUGCUUUAACUCUAUCUCUGUUAGAAGCUUGAGGUAAUUUUUCUCCAAUUCCUAAAGUUUGCAACUGGCAGGAAUUUUGAGAGUAAAAUUUAUGAAAAUUUGGGGGAUCCCCAAAAAACUCUUCCUCCAUGAAUUUGAAACUUCUCAUGUUUGUCCAUGUUUAAUCUACAGCAAUUAGUCAAUUAGCCUUUACAUAUCCCUAUGCAAUACUGGUUCCAGUGAUGGUUUUUCCUCCCAGCAAACUAUGGUUCCCUUUUUCUACCUAUAUCUUCAGUUCAUAAAAUGGGUACUUGUCCUGUGACUUCAGUUCUCUGAUCCUUUCAGAAGAGUUGAUUUUCAAGUUUUCAGCUUUUUCCUUGUUUAUAAGCAUAGGAGCAAUGACUUGACAUGUUGGACUAGAAGGCAGACAUUAGUGAUGGAUUUUUAAGUACUAAUCAUAUAUGUUGUUUUCCAAACUCAUAAACUUAAGGUUAACUCAAAAUAUUUACAUUUAUUUUUAUAAAUGAAAGAGGCCUACAAUAUUUUUCUAUAAAUUAUUUGAAUAAUCUUAAUGUGAACAUAAAUUCAUAAAUAAUGUUUUUAGGAUUGCAUGUUUAAAUCUAUAAACAUACUAAAACAUUUAUAGUUUUGAUUAUCAAUUUUAAAUUAAUUUAAUUUUAAUAAUAAUAUGGUUAAUUAACAUUUUUAAUUUAUCAAUACUUUUUGUGACUUAUUAAUGAAGGAUUGUUUUAAAUGUUCAUUUCAUGUUUCAAAAAACAAGUUAAUUUUCUAAUUGAUUCAGGAAGAUCUAAAUAUGUUCAUUCUACCAAUAAUAUCAUACUUUAUAGAAUUAUUCUUCUUCUACAACCACUUUACUUUUUGAGUAUAUAUUAAUGCCUCUAAGUCAAUUGUUAUUUGCAUUCUUGUGGAGUUACUUGCUCUUUUCAUUUUUAUACUUUCUAUUCAUUAGUUAUUACAUUUCUUUUCAUUUUAUUUUAAUUUUUACCCCAAAAUAACUCAUUAAAAACCCCUCUAAAGUCCUACUCUAAAUAAUUUACUGUAUGUUUUUUUGAAAAUAUAUGAUUACUGAUUUACUUCAGUAUCAAUUAUAUAGUUUCCUUUUAAAUUAAAGAAAUUAUUUUGAUAAAAUUUCAAACAAUUGAUAAUUACAAGGAUACUAUAAUUUAUUUCCUGUAGAUACAUUUUACCCAUUUCCCCCAAAGUCAAGUAUUCUACAGUAUUUGCUAUAGUUUUUAAACUUUCUUAUAUUCCUCUCUGUCUUUCUCUCUGUCUUCCUUCCCUCUCUAUUUUUCUGAAUCAUUUGGCAAGGAACUUUGUUGUAGACAGAAUACUAUUAUCUUAUACAGAAUAUCCUUUUAAUUAGAUUUUUCUGACCUAUCUUAAGGACUUGGUUCAAGUAAUGUAUUUUUUUGCAAGAAUGUUCCUGAAUAGAUUCUGUAUUCGCAGUGACUUAGAUCAGGGUGGACAUUAUACCAUGGGCCUCAUUACUGGUGACAUUAACUUUAAUCACUUGGUUAAAGAAGAAUCUACCAACUUUCUCCAUUGUAAAUUAUUCUCUUUCCCUUUGCAAUUAGAAAGAUGUUUGUGGGACCAUUUAUGGGACUUCUCUUUAGAGUGAGCUGUCAGGGUAUUGAAAUAUAGGGACUUCUGCUUUUUGUUUCUGUGGACAGUAGCAUAAAGGAUGCUUUUGGUCUUGUUUUGUUUUUGGCAAUCCUUUUUUCUUCCAGGAAGCUAAAUUCCCCAUGUUUCUUCUUUUUCCUUUCACUGUGUAGUUUAUCAAAGUUACCUCUUCCUUUUUAAUAUUCUUUUCUUCUGAAGCAGCACCUCUGCUAUUUUAGGAGCUAUACAACUUAUUUCAUCCUCACGGUGUCAAUAUAAUUGUUUAAAUUCAUACUCAAUAUAUUUUCUAAUAUACACAGCAAAAUCUCAUACCCAUGCCCUGGAAUGUAUUUUUAUAAAAUCUAGACACUUCUUUUUAAAAUCUUUAGAAAAAUAGCAAGUUUCCAUUGCAGCUCAGUGAGUUAAGGACCCGACAUGAUCUCUGUGGGGAUGCAGUUUGGAUUCCUGGCCUUGCUCAGUGAACUAAGGAUCUAGCAUUGCCUUAAGCUACAACAUGGGUUGCAGAUGCAACUCAGAUCCAGUGUUGCCAUGGCUGUUGCAUAGGCCUGCAGCUACAGCUCCAAUUUGACCUCUUAUCCAGGAAAGUCCAUAUGCCACAGGUGGGGCUAUUAAAAAAUGAAAAAAAAUAUACUUUCAAGAUCAAUAAUUUAUCACUUUUUUGUGCAUUAGUGAAUUUAUUUGCCCACUUGUUUAUGUAUUCUUCAUGACAAAGUGCAUCCUUUAAUAAUUCUUCUUUGUGAGGGUAUGACUGUGGAUGUGUAUACUCCCUGUGUCUCUGUACAUCUGUAAAUUUUUUAUAUAUUCUAGAGUGAAUCUAAUUUCUGAUUCUUAUAUUUCUUCAUGUAACUCUACCUUGCAGCUUGAUCUUGUCUGCAUUUCUAUGAAUGUGCUUUAGUUUCUUUUAUCUUGUCAUCCCUCCCUAUCUCUUGGCUGAAAUCCUAAGGUUUGGAUUUACUGGGAGCCCUUGUAGCCUCAGUUCAAAACUAGAGUGUCAAAACUAGAGUUUCAUCUCAAAUAUUUAAAAUUCAGUCACUCGGCCUGUGUACGUUUGACUCAAUUCCUGGUAGUAAGGCUGUUCUCUGCCUUCCAUCUUCCUUGGACUACACACUUGAUGAAACCAUGUCCCCAGGUAGUGGAUGGAAACAACUUUGUCAAAUAUUUUUAUGAACAAGGCAACCAAUCCUUCUCACACUCACUUUGGUUCAAUCCCCAAAGUUCACAUCGAACUCAUUUAGUGCCAAACUCCUGAAGAGAGAAUAACUCACUUUCUGUGACUUUCUCCCAGGCUAAUAAUCCAAAAGAUCUGCAGUCCUAAAACACUUUCUUAUAUUUUUUCAUAUCUGACCUGCUUUUGGUCUAAAAACACAUUUGCUUUAUUUUCAGUGUCAUUAUUGCCAUUGAAUUCUUAUUGCUAUAGACCUCUUUAUAGAAUAAGUAUGACUUCAAGUCACAUAUUAUUAGGAUUCUUUAAAAAUUUUAUAUGUGAACCUCUGAAUUUUUCCUAAAAACUAAAAGAAAUUCUUUUCAGAAAAAAAUUCACGCAGAUUCUCACACACACACAUACACCUUCAUUUAAUAUGUAUGUUUUCAUAAUAUAAAAUAACCGCCUAAAUAUUCCAUCUUCCCCAACAAAUAAUAAAUCAUAUAGCUACAACCAACAAAUAAUAAAUCAUAUAGCUACUACCAAUAAAACAAUUAUGGAUGAAUACCUGGCUUUUAGUCCAGACAAUUGGAGGGAAUUUAAAGAAAAAUAAUCCAAGGCAUAAUUCUGGUUAUGUGUAUAAUUCCCCCUUGUUUUUGCAUUUUAGUGUUAUCUUAUAAUGUGUUAAGACCAAUGAAUCUGCAGAAUUUAGAAAUGCAUUAAAAUAAAUAAAAUAAUAAUUAUUUUAGUAACAAAGCUUUUGGGAUAGCCUUUUCAAGUGUACAAGUACAAGUUGUUCAAGUACAAGAAUGAAACCCUUUUAGAAUUCUUAGAAGUCUGACUUGGCUUUGGUUUGGCUUAUUACUACAUUUUGUAUUGCUUUCAGUAGCCUGUAAAAACUAGCCCAUUGUAUCUUAGCUUACAGAGAAGCAAAGUCAUGCAUUCAUCCCCUCACUCACUCAUUAAACAAGUAUUUAUUGAACACAUCCUAUGAACCAGGCACUGGGAAUUCAGAAGCGGACAUAGUGGAUGAAAUGGCUGUUGUCAUAGAACUUAACGUCAGAAAAACAUAAUCAGGCACAGCGUGUGUGAGUACAUACACACACACACAAACAUAAAAUUGUCAGAUGGGAAUAAGUUUUAGGAGCAAUAUAAACUGGGUGUGAAAAUAAAGACUAAUGUGGGCAUGUUAUUCUACCAUACAGUUUACAGGCAAAGUCUCUCUGACAGAUAUUUACAGAGAAUAAUAAAUGAAGUAAGAAAGAGAUCAUAUGGUCAUUUUGUGAAAGAGUGUUCCAGCUGUAGAGAAGACCAAAUAGAAAUUUCUUGGAGGAAAGAGCAUGGUUGAAGUGUUUCAGAUACUGUGGGGAGACCACAGGCAUGGAUGGAGAGAAUGAAGAGGCUAAUGAUGAUUGCAGAUGAUAUCAAAGAAGGUAGAGGGACCAUUUCAUACAAGGAAAUAUAAACCAAAGGAGGAUAUGACUAUCUCAAUAUAUUAUUUGGCAUAAUUUUCACAAGAAUAACUUUAUUUGUCUAGGAGCAAGGCUGGAACCUAUUUAGGCUAAGUUUUGACAAAGGCAGUAGGGGUGAGGAAUGAAGAAAUGGUUAGUUCUGUAUACAUUUCAAAAGUCACCAUGACUAGAUUAGAAAUAAUUCUUUUUUUUUCACUCUUUCUUUUAAAAAAGGAGUCAAUAAUGAUCUUAAAUAAUUUGUGAUGGGUAAACUGGAAAAAUAUAGUUGGCAUUACUUGGAAAGGGGAAGAUUUGAGGUCAAGAGGUGGCACAGUGUAGAAGGAUUAAUGAUUCAAGUUUGGAAAUUGUAAAUUUGAGAAUUUUAUCAGACAUCCAAAGGAAAAUCAUUAGUGUGCAGUAGAUGAAUGUAUCAGGAUCACAGGGUUUGGGAUAUAAAGAUAUACAUUUGUGUCAAUAAGAUGGGGAUAUUUAAAGCCAAAGGACAGAAUGAGACAAUAUGAAGAAUGGCACUAGAUAGAAACAAAAUCAAAGAACUUAAACACAUUAGAGAAGCUGAUGCCUGAAAGUUAGGAAGAUAAAUCUGAAAAAGCAAAUUUGAUGAUAAAAAAAUGAGGUUCAGGUAGACCUAGAAAAUAGCAUUAGAUUUAAAAUGAGUUUAAUUUGCGAAGUAGUCCAAUAAAAAUUUGGUUUGGGAAUGAGGAAAUAAGAACUUGAUGGGAAAGAAGGCUUUAUUAUGAAGCAAGUUACCGUUAAAAAGUAUCACUUCAGAGGUAUCCCACCCAAGAGUCAGGGGAUUCAUGGAGGAUACGUCCGCCCACUCUUCUCACUUACUGACUGAACGCUCAGCCAAGAAGUUGUUCAUUCUUUCAUAUUGCUGGCCUACAUAUUAACCUUCUUUGAUAAGGCAAUUUGAUAUUAUAAUGAUGUCAAUCUUACCAAAAUGGUCACUAUGAUCAACUGGAAUUUUUCUAGAAAGGAGAUGGUGCUACUUGAAAAUGUGCGUGGAUGACAAAGAGUUUCAUUUUUAAAUUUUUCUUUUUCUUUUNUUUUUUUUUUUUUGCUUUUUAGGGCCACACUCAUGGCACAUGGAGAUUCCCAGGCAAGGGGGUUGAAUUGGAGCUACAGCUGCC